CUUACACAUGCAAGUCGAGGGGUAUAGUUCUUCGGAGCUAGAGACCGGCGCACGGGUGCGUAACGCGUAUGCAAUCUACCUUUUACAGAGGGAUAGCCCAGAGAAAUUUGGAUUAAUACCUCAUAGUAUGUGAGAAUCGCAUGGUUUUCACAUUAAAGUUCCAACGGUAAAAGAUGAGCAUGCGUCCCAUUAGCUAGAUGGUAAGGUAACGGCUUACCAUGGCAACGAUGGGUAGGGGUCCUGAGAGGGAGAUCCCCCACACUGGUACUGAGACACGGACCAGACUCCUACGGGAGGCAGCAGUGAGGAAUAUUGGACAAUGGGCGCAAGCCUGAUCCAGCCAUGCCGCGUGCAGGAUGACGGUCCUAUGGAUUGUAAACUGCUUUUGUACAGGAAGAAACACUCCCUCGUGAGGGAGCUUGACGGUACUGUAAGAAUAAGGAUCGGCUAACUCCGUGCCAGCAGCCGCGGUAAUACGGAGGAUCCAAGCGUUAUCCGGAAUCAUUGGGUUUAAAGGGUCCGUAGGCGGUUUAAUAAGUCAGUGGUGAAAGCCCAUCGCUCAACGGUGGAACGGCCAUUGAUACUGUUAAACUUGAAUUAUUAGGAAGUAACUAGAAUAUGUAGUGUAGCGGUGAAAUGCUUAGAGAUUACAUGGAAUACCAAUUGCGAAGGCAGGUUACUACUAAUGGAUUGACGCUGAUGGACGAAAGCGUGGGUAGCGAACAGGAUUAGAUACCCUGGUAGUCCACGCCGUAAACGAUGGAUACUAGCUGUUGGGAGCAAUCUCAGUGGCUAAGCGAAAGUGAUAAGUAUCCCACCUGGGGAGUACGUUCGCAAGAAUGAAACUCAAAGGAAUUGACGGGGGCCCGCACAAGCGGUGGAGCAUGUGGUUUUAUUCGAUGAUACGCGAGGAACCUUACCAGGCUUAAAUGUAGUUUGACCGAUUUGGAAAC
rnacentral:rRNA from 1 species